rnacentral:misc_RNA from 1 species
AUGAUAGUGGCAAAAUUAUGAUAGUGGCAUACUUAUUGAUGUCUGAUUGACUAUAAAAUAUGUGAACAUGAUCCAUGACAGCAAUCAGUUUAGUGGAGGUUAGAUUGAAUAAAGAGAUAGUAAAUGGUAUAAAUUGUGAAAGUUAUGCACACUUUGUAUACAUGGCUCCAGAAGUCAUUUUAUUUAUUAAAAUAUUUCAAUUGCAAUAUGGAACAUUGAAAUGUUGGUUUUAACUUUUUUCACUCUCAGAGUGGAUUUUUGGGAUUCUGG